AGAUUGAACGCUGGCGGCAGGCCUAACACAUGCAAGUCGAGCGGAUGAGAGGAGCUUGCUCCUUAAUUCAGCGGCGGACGGGUGAGUAAUGCCUAGGAAUCUGCCUAUUAGUGGGGGACAACGUUUCGAAAGGAACGCUAAUACCGCAUACGUCCUACGGGAGAAAGCAGGGGACCUUCGGGCCUUGCGCUAAUAGAUGAGCCUAGGUCGGAUUAGCUAGUUGGUGAGGUAAUGGCUCACCAAGGCUACGGAUCCGUAACUGGUCUGAGAGGAUGAUCAGUCACACUGGAACUGAGACACGGUCCAGACUCCCACGGGAGCAGCAGUGGGGAAUAUUGGACAAGUGGGCGAAAGCCUAGAUCCAGCCAUGCCGCGUGUGUGAAGAGGUCUUCGGAUUGUAAGCUACGUUUAAGUGGAGAAGGCAGUUACCUAAUACGUAUCUGUUUGACGUUACGACAGAAUA
rnacentral:rRNA from 1 species